rnacentral:lncRNA from 2 species
GACGAGGUCGUAGCUCCGACGACCACGCCACAGGCGGCGCAAAGAGCUGACGGCCCAGAUCCUGGCAUCGGGAGCCACGCCGCUGCGCCCGCCGAUGGCGACGGCGAGGAGGAGGAGGAGGCCCCGUCGCCGCGUCCGUCCUCCGCCGGCUGCUACACCUUCCUCCGCUCCGCGUCUCGCCGCGGCGGGCACUGGCGCCUCGACUCCUCCGCCUCCGCGUCCGCGGCGGCGCAUGUGGGUGGAGGUGGGGACGACGAAGGGAGAGAGGAACUUGUUCCCCCGUCGACCUGGCCGUGCUCGAGGCCGGGCCGGUGCGGCGCCUCCUCGCGGCGGCCGGGCGGCGGACCCGCGGUGGCGGUCGCCGUGGACGCGUUGCUGUUCGAGCACCUGUGGUGGCUGCAGCCGACGCCGACUUCGUCCCUCCCCUCACCAUCGUGGGUCAUCGAUUCCCCUAACAGCCGACCCCUCGCGCCGCCCGACUCCGUCGACGUCAUCCCUCCCCUUGCCAUCGUCGGCCGACGCGCCGCCACCGCGCCGCCGCCGCCCUCCCACGCAGCAGAUCCAUGCCGCAAGACGUCCAUCGGCCACAACCGUCGCUGCCCUCCCCUGCAGCAGAUCCACGCCACCGGCCGCCGCCCUCGAUCACAACGUGAUUUGGAGGUGGAGAAGCUUGGCUGCGGCUUCUUCGCCAACACCAGGGUCAACCUUGCCAACGAUAUGGUUGGGUUGGACUCUAUGAGGGUUUCGAGGGCGUGUGCAUUUGUUGACCAUGGCUGCGGCUGGGAUGUCGGUAGCGGUCGUUGUAGUGGCUGCGGCGACGAUUGCUUCUUCCUUGGAUGGGAGCCACCGUUCGCCGACCUUGCUGCCGCCGACGCCCGCAUAUCCUUCCAUGUCUGUGUGCCAGAGGAUUUGUGGGAUGCAAGCAGCAGCAGAAACAGCGACCGAGCACGUCCGAUUCCAGCUACGUUCAGCGUCAUGUAUGGGAAGGUGGGGAUCAGUGCCGACACACACCCCCAGUUCUACCUCCGAUUAUUUCUUCAGCGAUAGUCUUAAUUAAUAGCUCUUGUGGCCAGUCAUUGACAGGCAUGGUGUGUACUUAACUGCUUAUUGAAAUGGUCAGGUUUACUUUCCAUUCGU